UUAUAUUUAAGUGUAUUGCACGUAAACUUUUGAAGUUUAAAGAUUUAAUUUUGAUUAUAAAAUAUA
rnacentral:tRNA from 1 species